AAUUUAAGUCUCAGAUGCCAAAUGCUGGUUACCACAUGGUUCAGGGACAUCUGGUUUCAAUGGGAAUCCGUGUUCAAUGGUGGAGAAUGAUGGCAUCCAUGCAUAGAGUCGAUGCAGUGGGUAUCUUUUCACGGCUCACACAACUAGGAUGUGUAGUACGGAGAAGCCAUUCUGUGCGAGGCCCCCUUUCCUUGGUCCAUAUUGAUACUAAUCAUAAACUGAUAAGGUACAAUAUUGUUGUAUUUGGUGGAGUGGAUGGCUACUCAAGGAAUAUUAUGUACCUGGACGCUGCUACUAAUAAUAAAGCUUCAACAGCACUUUCAUUUUUCCUGAAAUCUGUACACCUCCAUGGCUUGCCAUCAAGGCAUUUUGCUCAGUUUAGAAACAUAAUUAUAAAAUAUUGAGGGAUUCUAAAGUCACAGAUUUACAUAGUAUUAUGGUCAUAAAAUCUGCAUUAAUUACUUUUUUUAUAUACUGCACCUGAAAGUCUUUCUUACUAUAAUUAUUGUGUUGUGGUUAGGGGAGAUCAGGGAGUGGAAAAUGUUGACAUUGCUCACUACAAG